UACGUAGGGUGCAAGCGUUGUCCGGAAUUAUUGGGCGUAAAGAGCUCGUAGGCGGCUUGUCGCGUCGGCUGUGAAAACCUGGGGCUCAACCCCGGGCCUGCAGCCGAUACGGGCAGGCUAGAGUUCGGUAGGGGAGACUGGAAUUCCUGGUGUAGCGGUGAAAUGCGCAAAUAUCAGGAGGAACACCGGUGGCGAAGGCGGGUCUCUGGGCCGAUACUGACGCUGAGGAGCGAAAGCGUGGGGAGCGAACAGG
rnacentral:rRNA from 1 species